UACGUAGGGGGCGAGCGUUGUCCGGAAUGAUUGGGCGUAAAGGGCGCGUAGGCGGCCUGUCAAGUCAGUAGUGGAAGUCCAUCUUUCAAGGAUGGAAGUGCUACAGAAACUGAUGGGCUUGAGUGCAGGAGAGGUUAUCGGAAUUCCCGGUGUAGCGGUGAAAUGCGUAGAUAUUGGGAAGAACACCGGUGGCGAAGGCGACUUGCUGGGCAGCAACUGACGCUGAGGCGCGAAAGCCAGGGGAGCAAACGGGAUUAGAUACCCU
rnacentral:rRNA from 1 species